rnacentral:rRNA from 1 species
GAUGAACGCUGGCGGCGUGCUUAACACAUGCAAGUCGAACGAAGCACUUUAACUUGAUUUCUUCGGAUUGAUUGUUAUUGUGACUGAGUGGCGGACGGGUGAGUAACGCGUGGGUAACCUGCCUCAUACAGGGGGAUAACAGUUGGAAACGACUGCUAAUACCGCAUAAGCGCACGGUAUCGCAUGAUUCAGUGUGAAAAACUCGGGUGGUAUGAGAUGGACCCGCGCGGGAUUAGCUAGUGGGCGGAGUAACGGCCCACCGAGGCAACGAUCAGUAGCCGACGUGAGAGGGUGACCGGCCACAUUGGGACUGAGACACGGCCCAAACUCCUACGGGAGGGAGCAGUGGGAUAUAUUGCACAAUGGGCGAGAGCCUGAUGCAGCGACGGCGCGUGAACGAUGAAUUAUUUCGGUAAAUAAAGUUCUAACAGCAGGGAAGGAGAAUGACGGUACCUGACCAAGAAGCACCGGCUAAAUACUUGCCAGCCGCCGCCGUAA